rnacentral:lncRNA from 1 species
UCCUUCAAUUCUGGAAUCGCUCAGCUUAGAGUUCUCUUCGGAGAGACAAGCUCAAGUUUUAGAGUUGAGCCUUGCUGGGUUGACUUUCAAACUAAGUCACUGGGUUUUCUGCCGUUUGCUUGCCUCCUGUCUAUUUAUAAUUUAUCUGAGAGUCACAUGUGUUUGGCUGGCAGAGUAAUUUGAGAAGAGGGUCGUGUUUCCGAGAGACUGACACACUGUCACAUGGAAGGAGGGAUGUGCAGUUGUCUCUCUGGUGGGACUCCUGUAAACAAGGCUAAGGGACGAUAUGUUCGAAAGCAGGGAAGCAGACUUCCAGGGAUGUUGUAUUAUUUAUCUCUUUUGCCUCCCCUGUGUGUUUUCCAACAAAGAAAUUAGAGCUGUGUUUGUGUAAACUGGUCACCCUUUCCUGGGAACUAAACAAACAACAACACAAGCUUGUCUGCUCUUUAAACUAGGGGUUAAACUCAAACCAUUCAACAAUUUUAUUGGCUAUUGCCAGGCCAAGGAAUGACUUAACAUAGCCAUGUUGCUCAACAUCUCUAGUUGCACCCAUCUAAUUUUUCUUUUUGCAAGGUAGAGUAGACAGGAAACAUGGCUGGAUCAGCUAAUUCUAUUCUAUUUAUUUUAUUGUGAGGCUACACUACACUAACAGAAUUUUGCAAGUCUAUAUACAAGUCCUCUACUUACAACUGUUUGUUUAUUGACCGUUACAACGACGCUGAAAAAAGUGACUUAUGACUGUUUUUCACACUUACAGCAGUGGUGGGAUUCCAAAACUUUUACCACCAGUUCGGUGGGCGCGCUUUGCACACGUGCACCCACUUUGCGUGCACGCACGCACCAAACACGCACUUUGCGCAGGCACAGAAGCAUUCCAACUCACCUCCUGCAAGGGGCGACAGGAUCCUGAAUACAAUUCAGACAGGGCCAGGUCUUCCCUAUUUCGUAGUCCCAAGCAAAUCCAAUCCAACUAUCAAACAGAAGCAUCAAACUUCUUGACACAGUAGAUGGGCUUCAGUUGGCCUCUGAAUUACAUCAUGCACCACCGAGAUCAAGUUCUUGUAUCUCAAUCUCUUCCCAGAACUAAUUUGUUGUGAAGCUUAAUUGGGCGUCCUCCAGAACCCUCACUCAAAUGAAUGAAGAGACAGAAAAACACUUCCCAUUCAGUUCCAAGGGAAUUCCUGAAAACACAUGUGGGAGGGCUUGGGAUAUAUGUGGCCAUUCGGGUGAACGACCCCAAGGAACCCAAAUAGCUUUAGGUGAGAUUUGAUAUACAUGUGAUUGGCUCAACUGCACGACAAGACCAAAGGAUGUAGCAUAUGCUUCAGAUGGACUUUGCUGGCACAGACAAAUUCUUUAUAUUGAUCGCUGAUGUCCAGCAGAUAGAAAUCUCCCACUAUAUCAGGGGUCCCCAAACUUGGCAACUUUAAGACUUGUGGACUUCAACUCCCAGAAUUCCCCAGCCAGCAUGACUGGUUGGGAAUCCUGGGAGUUGAAGUCCCACAGGUCUUAAAGAGUUGCCAAACUUGAACAACCCAGCCCUAAAAUAAAGGAGUGGAUAUUAUUGGCUUAAUUCGUGAAUUGUGAUCUUUGCUUGUUGUAAUUAGAAUAACCUUAAAGUAAUUGUAAUUAUAGUAAUCCUAAACUGGAAUGCAAAAUAAAAGGUUUCUAAUUACAACACCGUGCCAUGGACGAAUAGACAGCAAUAUAAAUUUAAUAAAUAAAUAAACAAAUGAACUGUACAAUUACACUUCAAUGUUUUUUGUGUGUGCCUUCAAGUCAGUCUUGAUACUUCAAAAUCUUAUUAGGGCAAUCAACCAAUCAGUUCUGGGAGUUGAAGUCCACAAGUCUUAAAGUUGCCAAGUUUGGAGACCUCUGCACUAAACAGUGGUAUGACUUGAAGCAGCUGUGAGCGUUUAGAACAGGUGUCAAACUAGAUUUCAUUGAGGGUCGCAUCAGGAUUGUGUUUGACCUCUGGGAGGGGGCUAUGGGGGCCUGGCCAGGGUAGGCGUGGCCAGCUUGAUGUCACUAGUGUCAGAGCCUGAGUGCUCUACCAGCAAAAACGGGCUCCCAAUCUCCGUUUUUGGUGGGAUGGCCUCCUGCAACCCUCUGCCAAUAAAAGUGGAGCUUGAUAGGAC